UUCUGUCUCAACCUUUUUCUGUUGAUAAAAAUGUAGUUAUUUUGGUUGGAUUUGCAUUUGUUCUCUCUGUCGCACAGAAGCACAUCAACAUCCCUGAGGUGUGAUGCUGGAUUCACAGUCAGACACGUCCGUGCUUCCUCCUCUCCCUGGCAUUUCAUUUCUGACCGGGUAUUUUUCUACUCUGGCAGAGCUUUAAAACUCCACUCGACUACAGAUCCUUUUCUAUUUCUUUUUCCCUUUCCCUGGUUGCUGCAUUAACACCAAGCUCACGGGCUCAAAAUCUCUUUGCCUAAAGGAAGUCCUCUGUAAGAUGACAGUUUAUCAGCCCAAUUGAAAUGCAGUCUUUUAGGAUUUGCGCUGUUUCUCUCAAACUCUCUGUGCUAAUCCUCCUGUUAUCGUCUCUGUCAGAUUUGUUGACUACAAUCAGUUUGUCACCCGAAGUCAUAUGUGAAGACAAGUGACUAAGUCUACACCUCAAUGCUUUGGUUUGCAAAGGCUAAACCUAAUAAAGUUUUAAACUGUGAAUCACCUUUUAUUAAAUAAAGACAAAAGCCAUCUGUCACCUUC